GAAAGGCGAAACGUAAUGUGAAUCGCAACUAACAGUGAAUCAUCGAAUUUUUGAACGCAGGCCGCGCCUUCUUAUCAUAUUUUAUUAUAUGGUAUCGGAAGGCACCCGCAUUUGAGUGUCAGCCAAAUAUCCUUUUGGUUCACGAGGGAGAUCGCCAUUUUUGAUGGGGUCAUAACUUGCGAAUGCACGAUAGUUUUCGAACAUAUCACUUGAAAUGUUUUAAACACGUGUCUGGCCUCAAGCGUGGGAGAUUACCCGCCGGAUUUAAGC
rnacentral:misc_RNA from 1 species